rnacentral:rRNA from 1 species
GACGAACGCUGGCGGCGUGCUUAACACAUGCAAGUCGAACGGUGACCUCGAGAGCUUGCUCUUGGGUGAACAGUGGCGAACGGGUGAGUAACACGUGAGUAACCUGCCCCUGACUCUGGAAUAAGCGCUGGAAACGGCGUCUAAUACCGGAUAUGACACACCCUCGCAUGGGGAGUGUGUGGAAAGUUUUUCGGUCUGGGAUGGACUCGCGGCCUAUCAGCUUGUUGGUGAGGGAAUGGCUCACCAAGGCGAUGACGGGUAGCCGGGCUGAGGGGGCGACCGGCCACACUGGGACUGAGACACGGCCCAGACUCCUACGGGAGGCAGCAGUGGGGAAUAUUGCACAAUGGGCGCAAGCCUGAUGCAGCGACGCCGCGUGAGGGAUGACGGCCUUCGGGUUGUAAACCUCUUUCAGCAGGGAAGAAGCGCAAGUGACGGUACCUGCAGAAGAAGCACCGGCUAACUACGUGCCAGCAGCCGCGGUAAAAC